UACGAAGGGGGCUAGCGUUGCUCGGAAUCACUGGCGUAAAGCGCACGUAGGCGGAUUGUUAAGUCAGGGGUGAAAUCCUGGAGCUCAACUCCAGAACUGCCUUUGAUACUGGCGAUCUUGAGUCCGGGAGAGGUGAGUGGAACUGCGAGUGUAGAGGUGAAAUUCGUAGAUAUUCGCAAGAACACCAGUGGCGAAGGCGGCUCACUGGCCCGGUAUGACGCUGAGGUGCGAA
rnacentral:rRNA from 1 species